CUGUUGUCUAUUCCAUUUGCACAACAGCAUGUGAAAUGUAUUGUCAAUCAGUGUUGCUUCCUAAGUGGACAGUUUGAUUUCACAGAAGUGUGAUUGACUUGAAGUUACAUUGUGUUGUUUAAGUGUUCCCUUUAUUUUUUUGAGCAGUGUAUAAUACCGUUGUGUGCUAAGUAUCAAUUGUAGUUAUUCAACAGUUAUAAAGUGUGUUUUAGUUGUCUACCGUUCUGUUUGUAAGACUGCAUGGAGAUGCAACAAUGGCAUUGAGAACAGCAGGAAGUGUGUUGAUGGUGUUUAUCUGGUCUGAGACAGGUAUGGUCUCAUUCAUAACCUUUCAGUAACCAUCCUUUUCCUAUCCUUUGCUAUUCAAUCUAUAGACAUUUCUAAACAAUUCUAACAAUUCACAAUAAGUUGCUUCUCAAUGUUCAUUUGGUGUAAAUUAUUCAUUUCCUUGUUAAUAUUUAGAUUUGCUCUUCACACCUCACAUACAGUAUAUGCUUGUGGUUUCCAUUCGCUCAUCUCUCCACAACUGUGGAACAAAUUGGGUGUGGGCCACGGGCUUCUUUAAUGGUUCUUUAGUUGCCCUGUGAUGUGUGACUGUGUUGCAGUGGUUCUGGGUCAGAAUGGCUGAAGGGUGACUUACAACACUCAGAAUAUCUGUGCCUUGAAGAGGUCAACAGUGAAUCUGACCUGCUCUUACACGUAUCCCAGAGGUCAUACCGUCACAGAGACAUCAUGGUUCUAUAGAUGGUCUGUUGUGAAACCUCAGAAUGAUGAUCGUGUGGAGUACUAUGGGGACAGAGUGAAUGACUGCACCCUGAGAAUCACAGACCUGAGAGAGAUCGACUCAGCUGAGUACUGGUUCACAUUCGAGACUCAGAUCCUACAAGGUCAUGUCUUUCAAAGUGUGAGAAGUGAGAGCUAUUCUGGCAGUCCUGGAGUCAGGCUGUCCGUCACAGGCCUGAAGGCAAAAUUUCAAACUAUAGUGACAGAGGGACAGACUGUGACACUGACCUGCAGCACCACCUGUACUCUGACUGACAACCCCAACCCCACCUACAUCUGGAACAAGAACAGACAACGUCUCACAAACCCAAAGACCAAAAAUAACUAGCUGUACCUAGACCCAGUCAGCAGUGAGGAUACAGGCAGAUACUCCUGCACUGUAAACGGCCAUGAGAAUCCCCCCUCUGCUGAAGAGACUCUCACUGUCAGAUGGAAACAAGCUUCUGUGAAGAAUGCAUCUGUAGGAAUCAUAGUGGUUGUUCUGGUUCUCAUCCUCUGUCUCUCUGUCCUCAUGUGGUUCAGGAAGAAGGCCUCCAAAUCCAUCUCCGACACAAGAGACAGAAGAGAGACAGUAGAGAAUGGACAGCAAGACUCUAGUCCUGUGUAUGACAACGUCUCAGGCAUGGCCAUGACCCAUACUGCAGCACCGACAGUGGACACAGACAACCAGGAUCACGUUCACUACGCCAGCAUCCAACACAGAAACCAGGAAGUGCCUGAAUACUCCACUGCCCAACCGUCUCAACCCCAAAAACAGGAGGAGGAUGUCCAGUACGCUGCUGUGAAAUAUAACCACAACAGUGCUGUUGACAUGCCAGUAGAGACCACUGUGGUACAGUCCACUGGAAACACCAGGUUUUAGUGUAGCUGGUGAGACAUACAAAAGUAAAGAGAAAUAAGCCAAUUGUUAUGGACGAAUUAUAGGGAUAUUUUCCAACUAUUCUUCUUGUAUAAUAUGUUUGCUCCAAAAAUGCAUUUCUUGUAAAGACUUUCACUGACGUUUUGGUUAUUGAAGACAGGACGUCAGCUCUGCAUCCCAAUUUUAGUCCCUCAGUACUUCUAGUUGGUGUCAACCUCAGACAUCACAUUAUUCUGUUUCACACUGUCAGUAGGUCCCCUGCCAAACCUCUCUCUCUUCACCUUGUAUCACUUGAUAAUAUAUUAUACUGAACCAUACCAUGUUCUAGUUUAUUAGAUAUUUUUGCAAUAUGAACGCUUGCUUCUGAAUAUCAUUUAAAAAAUGUCCAUUUGGUGUGUGGUUUCAUAUAUUUUGUUUUGUUCAGCAUUGCUGAUUCCAUAUAAAUGUUUUAAUAAAGACUGUUUAAAAAAGUAUAGUUGAGUACGUAGAGGAGACCAGGAUAUGUUGUUGGCCUGGGUCCCAAUACUCAAUGUUAUAGUCAUGGUCCUGAGAAUAAAACAGGUUUAAAACAAUCAACUGAGAAACACGUGUCUUACAGCGCUACACAUCUGCUAUAAGUGCUUUUUUUUUCAAUUGAAGUAUCAGGAUUAGUUAUUCACCAGUUAUAAAGUAUGUUUUAGUUGUUUAUCUUCAUGGCACUA